GAUGAACGCUGGCGGCGUGCCUAAUACAUGCAAGUCGAGCGAAUGGAUUAAGAGCUUGCUCUUAUGAAGUUAGCGGCGGACGGGUGAGUAACACGUGGGUAACCUGCCCAUAAGACUGGGAUAACUCCGGGAAACCGGGGCUAAUACCGGAUAACAUUUUGAACCGCAUGGUUCGAAAUUGAAAGGCGGCUUCGGCUGGUACUUAUGGAUGGACCCGCGUCGCAUUAGCUAGUUGGUGAGGUAACGGCUAACCAAGGCAACGAUGCGUAGCCGACCUGAGAGGGUGAUCGGCCACACUGGGACUGAGACACGGCCCAGACUCCUACGGGAGGCGGCAGUAGGGAAUCUUCCGCAAUGGACGAAAGUCUGACGGAGCAACGCCGCGUGAGUGAUGAAGGCUUUCGGGUCGUAAAACUCUGUUGUUAGGGAAGAACAAGUGCUAGUUGAAUAAGCUGGCACCUUGACGGUACCUAACCAGAAAGCCACGGCUAACUACGUGCCAGCCGCCGCAGUAA
rnacentral:rRNA from 1 species